GACGAACCACACAAACGUUAUUCGGAAUUACUGGGCUUAAAGGGUGCGUAGGCGGCGCGGAAAGUUGGGUGUGAAAUCCCUCGGCUCAACCGAGGAACUGCGCUCAAUACUACCGUGCUCGAGGGAGACAGAGGCGAGCGGAACUUAGGGUGGAGCGGUGAAAUGCGUUGAUAUCCUAAGGAACACCCGUGGCGAAAGCGGCUCACUGGGUCUCUUCUGACGCUGAGGCACGAAAGCUAGGGUAGCGAACGGG
rnacentral:rRNA from 1 species